GUGUGUGUGUGUGUGUGUGUUUGGGGAGAGAGAGUUUGUGUGUGUGUUUGGAGAGAGAGAAAGGUUGGUUAAUAGUCCCUACCUCCUUCACUAAUCAUGCAUACAUCAAUGUCAGAUAAGGGGUCAGGGGUCAAAAUGCAAUGAUUCCCAAUUGGACUGAAAUAAAUCCCUCCUCCCAGAGGGAGAAGGCACCAGCUAGGCUCACAGUGCAUUAAAACAGCAGACACCAAGCUAGCAGAUAACGAGGGGGCCAGCCUCAGAGAUACCCCACCUCCCAGUCCGCUGGUCCCUGGGGCUUCAGCUUCCUGGAGAUAAUGAUGGGAUGGACACACUAACAAAACAACAGCACUGGGGAAAAUCCUCUCCAGCCUUCCACCCAUGUGAGACCAGACCAGUUCCAAAGCCUAGACCAGAACAGCCCAGUCUAUCCCAGACCAGAACAGCCCAGUCUAUCCCAGACCAGAACAGCCCAGUCUAUCCCAGACCAGAACAGCCCAGUCUAUCCCAGACCAGAACAGCCCAGUCUAUCCCAGACCAGAACAGCCCAGUCUAUCCCAGACCAGAACAGCCCAGUCUAUCCCAGACCAGAACAGCCCAGUCUAUCCCAGACCAGAUGAAAACAGUCUAGACAGACAGAGAUGGAUAGAGAGAUGUGUGCUGUUAGGUUCACAUCAACUUCCUCAUAUUAUUGCUAGCCCUAGCUCAUGUCAGCAGGGGAAAUGUAGCCGUUUUCUGCCCCAGAGUCCAGAGUCCAGAGCCCAGAGCCCAGAGUCCAGAGUCCAGAGUCCAGAUCCCAGAUCCCAGAGUCCAGAUCCCAGAGUCCAGAUCCCAGAUCCCAGAGUCCAGAGCCCAGAGUCCAGAGUCCAGAGCCCAGAGUCCAGAGUCCAGAGCACAGAGCCCAGAGUCCAGAGUCCAGAGUCCAGAUCCCAGAUCCCAGAGUCCAGAGUCCAGAGCCCAGAGUCCAGAGCCCAGAGCCCAGAGUCCAGAGCCCAGAGUCCAGAGUCCAGAGUCCAGAGCACAGAUCCCAGAGUCCAGAGCCCAGAGUCCAGAG
ensembl:lncRNA